rfam:Schistosoma margrebowiei strain Zambia genome assembly, scaffold: SMRZ_scaffold0002897
AUUUAGCUGAAAAGUCCUAAACGGGACGAGACGUACGUCCUGAAU